rnacentral:rRNA from 1 species
CUGCGAGUGAAGCGGCAAAAGCUCAAAUUUGAAAUCUGGCAUCUUUUGGUGUCUGAGUUGUAAUUUAGAGGGGCAUUUUCAGGUUUAACACUAUUCUAAGUUCUUUGGAACAGGACAUCAUAGAGGGUGAGAAUCCCGUGCCUGGGUAGUUGUUUAAUCCUAUGUGAAGUGUCUCCGACGAGUCGAGUUGUUUGGGAAUGCAGCUCAAAAUGGGUGGUAAAUUUCAUCUAAAGCUAAAUAUUGGCGAGAGACCGAUAGCGCACAAGUAGAGUGAUCGAAAGAUGAAAAGCACUUUGAAAAGAGAGUUAAAAAGUACGUGAAAUUGUUGAAAGGGAAGCACUUGCGACCAGAAUCAAUCUUUGGGGGUCAUCUGGGUUUCGGCUUAGUGCCAUCCCUAUUGAUUGGGCUAGCAUCGGUUUUGGUGGUAGGAUAAAAGGUUGAGGGAAUGUGGCUCUCCUUGGAGAGUGUUAUAGCCCUUAUCAUAAUACUGCCUACCGGGACCGAGGAUCGCGCUUAAUAAGCUAGGAUGCUGGCAUAAUGGUCUUAAGUGACCCGUCUUGAAACACGGACCAAGGAGUCUAACAUCUAUGCGAGUGUUUGGGUGGAAAACCCUUGCGCGUAAUGAAAGUAAAUGGAGGUGGGAACCUUUUAACAGAGGUGCACCAUCGACCAGUCCUAAUGUUUUACGGAAGGAUCUGAGUAAGAGCAUAGCUGUUGGGACCCGAAAGAUGGUGAACUAUGCCUGAAUAGGGUGAAGCCAGAGGAAACUCUGGUGGAGGCUCGCAGCGGUUCUGACGUGCAAAUCGAUCGUCAAAUUUGGGUAUAGGGGCGAAAGACUAAUCGAACCAUCUAGUAGCUGGUUCCUGCCGAAGU